rnacentral:tRNA from 3 species
GGAGGGGUGCCAGAGUGGUUGAAUGGACCGGUCUUGAAAACCGGCGUAGGCUUAUACCCUACCGUGGGUUCAAAUCCCACCUCCUCCGCCA